rnacentral:lncRNA from 1 species
CCUUUCUCUUCCUCAUCAAUGUGCAGGUACACAUAGUUGCUUCCUAUUGAAGCUAUUCGAAUGAGGUUCGAAUUAUAAUCUUGAUUCAUUAUUGUAUAUUAUUGACGUUAGACAAACUUAGGCCGAUUCUCAAAUUAUUGUUUUAUGUUAUUAUAUGUUAUUACUUGUGUAUAUUACACGCUUAUUAUUCUUGUAUAUUUAUUUUUAUCUCUUCCUCAAUUUGAAAAAAUGAAUUGAAUCGGGAACUACAAUUGUGGAUUUC